UUUCUGCGUUUAUUUCAGCUACAAAACAGAAUGUAUUGCAAAGAAAACCAUUUAUUUUUUUCUAUUUCCCAGUUCUCCCGUGAUCUUAAAUCACAGAGCAAACAGUCCACUGGAAAUUGUGUUUCCUUGGAUCCGGGCCCACUCCAUCCUUCAUCCUAUAUUUAAUUCUGUUCAUCCUUUCCUUCACGCUCUUCCUCCCCCUUUUUCUCCUUUUUGCUUUCAAACGAAGUCCUUUGAAAUAGCGUCCACAAAGUUUGGAGCGGACAUGAGGAUGGAGAUGGUGCAUAUGAUGUUGAAAACGCUGAACGCAACCAGACACAGGCGGUCGAUUACAGCGCCUGCAAAUUUCCACUGAUCAGCCACACUCUCAGACUCGUCCUGCUCUCGGAAACGGUCCGCCAUGUAACGCACCUCCUCCAAGAUGGCCUGCAGCUGGGGGUCUCCUAUCCCUGAAGAUGAACAGCCUCCAAGCCCUCCAGCGCCACCUCCAAAGCCCCCGCCGCUGGACACAGUGCUGGGGCAGCCUACAGUAUCCAUAUUUGGUGUAGGAGGCGGCGGAGAGCUGCAGAACUGAGACGGGAGGUGAGGAGGAGGGCUCCCUGCUACUCGUGGAGGCCCCGUGGACAGGUUAUUCCUCUGGAGAGAUUCUGAGAGUAUCGAAGGGUCGUCCAUGCUCUGGAAACCCAUGUACAGAAGGUUCCCGUUGUUGUUGGUGCUCGACUGGGCGUGGAGGUGAGGGUGCCCCGCGUGGAGGGGUCCAGUCUGGAGAGGAGCCAGGUUCUGCGGGUGCAGCGGAUGAAGAGUGGGGUCAGGAGGGUUCGGGAUGCUGCCGCUCUGGGAGCCUGAGGAGCAGCGUCGCAAAUGAGGGGCACACGGUGGACGCUCCGGGUCGUCGUUCUCUCCUGGACGCUUCAUGCGCAGGAACCACGCCACCCACUGAAGCAAAACAAGCUGAACCUGCAGGAAGAAAAAGGGGGAAGGAAAGAUAUGUCAAAAUCAAAGUUAGGGACAAGAAGAGGCAUAAAAUGAAAGCAUACAGGGAAAUUCUGAGAAAGCUCUAAAGCACUAAGAGCCACCCACACAUUCUAACCUUCACGUGACAUCAGAAGGCCAUUCAACUCAGCCCCCUGCUGACAUCAGGCAUUCGAUCUUGAUCUGUCGAAAUCUGAUGAACAAAGAAACGACUCAAAGCACAAAAAGACACGUGGAAACCCAGGAGAGUUGACUUUCACACGCUUGCACAGGUCUUGCGUUUGGGUGAAGACAGGAAACGGAGGAGGCAAGCGUUUCCUAUUUAUAGGUAUCGCUGAGAAUCUGUAACCAGUGAGUAACCAGGGAUCUUGUUUUAUACUAAUAAAAUAUUAAUGUCAAUGUACAAACAGGGGAGACGUGCAGAGACUGCAAAAUGAGAUGCUGCCAUUGCACCGUGGGGAGACGAGGGGAGUGAUAGGAAAAACUAGGGAGGGAGGAAAAAAGAAGGUCAGGAGGAGCGUAGAGACUCACCUGGGGGGAGAUAUUCAGCGUAGCCGCUGGAGUUCACCAGGACGUUGGUCUUAAAGGUGGAGUCAAAGUCAUCAUCUGCACUGGGGAAGGACAGAAGAGGGAGUGACACUACUUGUUGGAAUAUGUUAAGAAAAUAUGACGUGUGUGUGUUCA